AUCUUUACAUUUCAUGAAAACAUCAUUAACUAUUUCUUAUGCUAUAAAUAUUUCAAUGAUUUUCAAGCAUUACUUUAUAUUUUAGAAGACAAUACCAUGAUCAUGAAAUCACUGGAGAAAUCUGCCGGGGAAGGGCUGUGAGGAUAGUCUCAUCUGUAACGCAUGUGUCCUCCAGAAAAAAAGUAUAUGGCUUUCAGACUAAAUUUUACUCCUUAUCCAAAUGGAAAGAAUAUCUAAAGAGACAAAGUGUAAUAAUCCAAGAAUCUUCUAUUGUGAGAAUAAUGGAGAUUGACAUUGUGAAGUAUAUAGAAAAACAUAAAAGAACUUCUUCCUCCUCUCCCCCCACCCCACCCCAGCUACGUGGAGAAAUGGCCACAGCUGCUUCUCUUUUGUCUGCCAGGGGCGCCAGGCAUAUCUCUUCUCACACAUGCUUGAGUGACUGCCAGCCAUCUCCCUGUAAGAAGGUCUGCAUAGGGAAAUAA
rnacentral:lncRNA from 1 species